rnacentral:rRNA from 1 species
GAUGAACGCUGGCGGCGUGCCUAAUACAUGCAAGUCGAGCGAACGGACGAGAAGCUUGCUUCUCUGAUGUUAGCGGCGGACGGGUGAGUAACACGUGGAUAACCUACCUAUAAGACUGGGAUAACUUCGGGAAACCGGAGCUAAUACCGGAUAAUAUUUUGAACCGCAUGGUUCAAAAGUGAAGGACGGUCUUGCUGUCACUUAUAGAUGGAUCCGCGCUGCAUUAGCUAGUUGGUAAGGUAACGGCUUACCAAGGCAACGAUGCAUAGCCGACCUGAGAGGGUGAUCGGCCACACUGGAACUGAGACACGGUCCAGACUCCUACGGGAGGCAGCAGUAGGGAAUCUUCCGCAAUGGGCGAAAGCCUGACGGAGCAACGCCGCGUGAGUGAUGAAGGUCUUCGGAUCGUAAAACUCUGUUAUUAGGGAAGAACAUAUGUGUAAGUAACUGUGCACAUCUUGACGGUACCUAAUCAGAAAGCCACAGCUAACUACGUG